UGAGGGCUUGGUUCUCGUCUCGGAGGGUAAGAUUCUUUGAUUCGAGCUGGCUGAGCUUCUCGGCGCUCUGCUCCAGGUGCUUGGAGUGUUCGUUGAGCUUCUCCUUCAGGGUCUGGAACUCCAAGGAGUGCUCGGGAUUGGUCUCCUCCUGAGUUCUAUGCAACCCGGUUACUUGACCUCGCAGAUCAUCGAUUUGCCUCUGGAUUCAGCUUCUCUCUAGGUAGCUUUGGGU
rnacentral:lncRNA from 1 species